AUGUUGGAUGAGUUCUUCAGCACCAAGCUAGGCGACUUCGGUCUCUCCCGGCUCAUCGACCACGGCAUGAGCUUGCAGACGAUGACCGGCAUGGCGGGCACCCCGGGCUACCUCGACCCGGAGUGCGUCAUCACCGGCAAGGCGUCCACCGAGUCCGACAUGUACAGCUUCGGCGUCACCCUGCUGGAGAUCGUGUGCGGGCGGCGGCCGAUGGCGCCGCCGAGAGACGGUGCCAAGGACGGCCAGGUGUUCCGGUUGCUGGAGUGGGCGUGGGACCUCUAUGGAAGGAGCGCCGCCCUCGACGCCGCUGACGAGCGUCUUGGUGGCGUGUUCGACCGGUGGGAGGUGGACAGGGUGCUGGCGGUCGGGCUGUGGGCGGCGCACCCUGACCCCAAGAUGAGGCCGGCGAUCAGGCAGGCCGCCGAGGCGCUGCAGUCAAGGAAGUUCAGGAUGCCGGUGCUGCCGCCCAAGAUGCCGGUGGCCGUGUACCUGCAGCCUUUCGCAGCUUCCACCAUGGAGUACAGUGACACCACCACCACUGUUGGGUCGUCGACCAGUCGUACAACAGCGACGCAAUCUUCAAAUACUAGCAUGCCAGCGGCUGUCAGCGAGGAGUUGGUUUGA
rnacentral:rRNA from 1 species